UGGCACAUGCACAGUGGAUUACACAAAUAUAUAAAAGUUAAAUAUGAAAUAUUAUAAUAAAUUAAUUAUUAAAUAUAAAUAUGUUGGAAUCACCUUUUUUCUUCAGACAAGAGAGAAUGUUAAAGUCUCUCAAGACAUUUUAAAUUUGUAAUGAAGUGAAAGUGGUCCAAUUACUCGCCUGUGGACCAAUUGGAGCAGGAAAGUCCAGCACCAUAAACACCAUCAGAUCCAUUUUUGAAGGCCGUCAGUUUAUCGACUGUCUGGCUGCUGCAGGAACAACAACGAGUCAUACUCUAUGCUAUGAAAGAUUCCAAAUCACAAAUGAAGAAAGAUCAUUUCCUUUUGUCUUCAAUGAUAUAAUGGGUGCGGAAAAAGACUCUGGAGUCCUCAAUGAAGAUAUCAUCAGUGCUUUAAAAGGUCACAUUAAAGAGGGUUUCACGUUCAACCCUCAAACUCCACUGUCUGAAAGCAGCCUUUACUACAAUAAAAACCCCACCCUGAGUGAUCAGAUGCACUGCCUGGUGUUGGUCAUGCCAGCUGACACAAUUUCAAGCCAAGACGAAAAGUUUUUGCAAAAAAUGAAGAGUGUUGUAAAAGCAGCAAGCAA